UGCAGUCGAGCGAGAUUCAACCGGUGGCAACACCGGGGAAGAUCGAGCGGCGAACGGGUGAGUAACACGUGAGCAACCUGCCCCGAAGACUGGGAUAACACCGGGAAACCGGUGCUAAUACCGGAUACCCCCACCAGGCCGCAUGACCAGGUGAGGAAAUGAAUUUCGCUUCGGGAGGGGCUCGCGGGCUAUCAGCUUGUUGGUGGGGUAACGGCCUACCAAGGCGACGACGGCUAGCUGGUCUGAGAGGACGACCAGCCACACUGGGACUGAGACACGGCCCAGACUCCUACGGGAGGCAGCAGUGGGGAAUCUUGCGCAAUGGGCGAAAGCCUGACGCAGCAACGCCGCGUGGGGGAUGAAGGCCUUCGGGUCGUAAACCCCUUUCAGCAGGGACGAAAAUGACGGUACCUGCAGAAGAAGCCCCGGCCAACUACGUGCCAGCAGCCGCGGUAAUACGUAGGGGGCGAGCGUUGUCCGGAUUCAUUGGGCGUAAAGAGCUCGUAGGCGGUUUGAUAAGUCGGGUGUGAAAUCUCCAGGCUCAACCUGGAGAGGUCACUCGAGACUGUUAUGACUAGAGUCCGGUAGGGGACCACGGAAUUCCUGGUGUAGCGGUGAAAUGCGCAGAUAUCAGGAGGAACACCAGUGGCGAAGGCGGUGGUCUGGGCCGGAACUGACGCUGAGGAGCGAAAGCGUGGGUAGCAAACAGGAUUAGAUACCCUGGUAGUCCACGCCGUAAACGUUGGGCACUAGGUGUGGGGCCUUAUCAACGGGUUCCGUGCCGUAGC
rnacentral:rRNA from 1 species